UGAAAAUUGUUAUUUGUCCAGUCUAAAUUUGACCAACUGGGGACAUUUUGUUGAACCCCACAAGGUCAAAUGCUAUUUCUAAGGGGUUUAGGGUUAAGGUUAGAAUUAGUGUUAGGGUUAGAAUUAGGGUUAGGGUUAGAAUUAGGGUUAGGGUUAGGCGCUAGGGUUAGGUUUAGGGUUAGGAGCUAGAGUUAGGGUUAGGGUUAGGGUUAGCGUUAGGGUUAGGGUUAGGAGCUAGAGUUAGGGUUAGGAGCUAGGGUUAGGGUUAGGAGCUAGGGUUAGGUUUAGGGUUAGGAGCUAGAGUUAGGGUUAGGAGCUAGGUUAGGUUUAGGGGUUAGGAGCUAGAGUUAGGUUUAGGGGUUAGGAGCUAGAGUUAGGUUUAGGGGUUAGGAGCUAGAGUUAGGUUUAGGGUUAGGAGCUAGAGUUAGG
rnacentral:lncRNA from 1 species